GAGUUGUUUUUGUUGGAAACACUCUUUGUCAAGUACCUGGGGGUCUUCAUCAGUAAGACCUCAUUUUAGACGCCUCCUGGCCUCCCCUUGCCAGGAGCACAGCUAUGACCUUAGGUACUCCUUCCGAAAAGAACUUGUUUAACUAAAGGCAAGUGUACCUCAUCCUUACCAUGGCCUCCUCCCAACGGGGAAGCAGAUAGCGCAGAAAAAAGAACACAACCAUUCCCCACAUACCUUCACACACGUCACAUACCUGCUACGUGAGAUGUGCAAAGCUGAAUUCAGGGAAUGCUCAGUGGUUACAUAACAGUGCCACCAAAGGCAAUUGUUUUCAGUGAUUUCCAUUGAGCUGGGUUCUGCAAAGAUCCACAGCACUUUCCGGCUGCAUGCUGGGCACUUUUGGAAGCUGCAGUCAAUUCUGGAGGCCACAGGGCACCAUUAGCACAUAGCAGCAAUUACUGACUAAAUGGUGCUCUGGUUCCAUGCCUUCCAAGGGGGCCCACUUAGAGGCAGGGUGGAGUUGCUUAGGGCCUUUUUUUUUUUUUAGAUGGAGUUUUGCUCUUGUUGCCCAAGCUGGAGUGCAAUGGUGUGAUCUUGGCUCACUGCAACCUCUGCUUCCUGGGUUCAAGUGAUUCCCCUGCCUCAGCCUCCCGAGUAGCAGGGAUUACAGAUGGAGCCUCACUCUGUCACCCAGGCUGGAGUGCAGUGGCACAAUCUCGGGUCACUGCAACCUCCGCCCCCCAGGUUCAAGCGAUUCUCCUGUCUCAGCCUCCCGAGUAGCUAGGAUUACAGGUGCAUGCCACCAGGCCUGGAUAAUUUUUAUAUUUUUAGUAGAGUUGGGAUUUUGCCAUGUUGGCCAGGCUGGUCUCAAACUCCUGACCUCAGGUGACCCAUCCACCUCAGCCUCCCAAAGUGCUGGGACUACAGGUGUGAGCCACCAUGCCUGGUCCCCCACUUGUUGAUUUUGCAGAAAAGAUAGCUGUGUUACAACCCGUCCUAAGGUCAGGUAUGAAUACUUGUGCUUCUUUCUUGGCUCCCCAAGCCAGAGGGCAUUCCUAUGCCCUGGUGAGAGAGCACGGAGUAUUACUUUGGCAGCAUAGUCAGUUACCAGAGGUGGGAAAAGCAAAGGCCAAGCAGGACAUGAGGGGCCCUUGCACUGGCUGGUUCUCCCUGCCUUCACCACCCUCCAGGUGAAUGACUAGGUGAGUAAUGAUUGACUGAGGAGGUAAUGAAUAAUUUAUGGACACUGCUGGACCUCAGUCUCCUCAUCUGAAAGAUGAGUGGUUGGAGAAGUUUAAUGGUUUUCAAAUGCUUUUUUUUUCAGUCUUCAAAUAAGUGUUUACGUAGAAGCACCAUAUCUGAAACAGGUGACAGUGGACCAGUCUGAAUGAAAUGAGGGUUGGCAGGUCUGAGCUCCAAAACCUUCUGAUUGCCUAAGCCCUCCUUGUCUUGCUUGGAUUAUCUCCACACAAAUGGAGAAACUGGACAAG
rnacentral:sRNA from 1 species